AGGACGAACGCUGGCGGCGUGCUUAACACAUGCAAGUCGAGCGGAAAGGCCCUUCGGGGUACUCGAGCGGCGAACGGGUGAGUAACACGUGAGUAAUCUGCCCCUAGCUCUGGGAUAGCUCCGGAACCGGGAUUAAUACCGGAUACGACCACUUAGACAUCUGUUGUGGUGGAAAGAAUUUGGCUAGGGAUGAGCUCGCGGCCUAUCAGCUUGUUGGUGGGGUAAUGGCCUACCAAGGCGACGACGGGUA
rnacentral:rRNA from 1 species